UCCUCCUCCUGCUGGACUGUUUCAUCACACGUUGUCUGUGCCGCUCCUUCAUCCUCAGGGGGAGGACCCCUCACACUCUUCCCCUGCUCCAUCACAGGCUCCCCCCCCCAGGAGAUAGUCCUCCACGAACUUCUCCAACAUGGGUCCUUCCAUGGGCUGCAGU